rnacentral:rRNA from 1 species
AACGAACGCUGGCGGCAUGCCUAACACAUGCAAGUCGAACGAGACCUUCGGGUCUAGUGGCGCACGGGUGCGUAACGCGUGGGAAUCUGCCCUUGGGUUCGGAAUAACAGUUGGAAACGACUGCUAAUACCGGAUGAUGACGUAAGUCCAAAGAUUUAUCGCCCAAGGAUGAGCCCGCGUAGGAUUAGCUAGUUGGUGAGGUAAAGGCUCACCAAGGCGACGAUCCUUAGCUGGUCUGAGAGGAUGAUCAGCCACACUGGGACUGAGACACGGCCCAGACUCCUACGGGAGGCAGCAGUGGGGAAUAUUGGACAAUGGGCGAAAGCCUGAUCCAGCAAUGCCGCGUGAGUGAUGAAGGCCUUAGGGUUGUAAAGCUCUUUUACCCGGGAUGAUAAUGACAGUACCGGGAGAAUAAGCUCCGGCUAACUCCGUA